AGGCAACUGUAAAUCUUCUGGCAGAUGUUUUUAAACCACCAUCUGAUGUUAAAUUGGAACAAUUGCAAGCUGCUGCAGUUACAAAAUUAGAAGACAUAAAAGAAACAUCUGCUCUUGGAUUACAACAUGCAAUUGAGCAACAUAAAACACUUGAUUUGAAAAUCAACUUGAUGUCAUCUUACGUAAUAGUACCUGAGAAUGGUUUUUGGAAUGAAUCAUUCUUCAUAUAAAUUCAAUUUUAUAUGGAAGUGUGAAGUGAAGUAAGAUCAAAGGAUACAUGGUUGCAAAAACUGGAGGUUCAUACUUAUGGAAGUAUAGCAACUGUUUUGUGAAUCAAUAGCAAAAAUAACAUCUGAAUAGUGAAAAAAUGUUUUCUGCCAUGUUGAGAAAAAGAGAAUAAAAUGUAUGAAUUGAAUGGUGGUAAGAAAAUAUUACAGAUAUGACUAAUUUUUUGCAUGUCUAGCAGAACAGUGAUAUGAUUGUUCUGUUGGAUAUGCACUAUUUAUUAAUACAUAUUUGUAGAAUUUGAAUAUUAUAUUUACACUGCUCUUCAAGAAAAAAUCAAAGGAUUAUGGCAAUUUUUUGUAGUAAACAGUUGUAUCUCAAAUUAUCUUUUUUAAAAUAGAUUACUACAACUAUAUAAUUUUAAUUAUGAAUGUUACUGAUAAUUUCUGAGAUUGAGAACUGCUAAUGAGAUUGAAUCAUAUAAAUGCAGUGAAAUUGUAUUCAUAUUAUUCAUCUGUUAGAUUUUGAUAAUUUUUUUUAUUUUGAAGUUUACUUUAGAGACAGUGUUUACCAAAUUUAUUAAUAAAACUUUACUAGAACAUUGUGUGACUUUGCCAUAUCACGAUAGAAUACCUGACAGAUGCAGACAGAUGAACUUUGCACUUGACACCACAAAAGAGGCUAUCCUUGUACCUGCUGGCCAUGGGAGAGACGAGAGAGAGAGAAUCACCAUCAAUUGCUUUGUUCUUGUGUUUAGUUUGUUUUUUGUGUCUAUUUUCUGUUAGGCAAACACAAUGCUGUUUUUAUUUUUUAUCCCUAGGCAUAAUUUCUGUUAGGCGUGCUCAUUCACAUCAUUAGACACAGAUAUUAUGUAACAAUACGUGUAUUGUUACAUAAUGCAUUUGUAUAUCAAAAAUGUAGUCAUGGGCUCCUGUUUUUUAUAUUUAAAUGAACCUUUUUUACAUUUUUGGAUUUCUUGUUGCAAUUAAUGGAAAAUGGCAGUGUUGACUUUAUUAUUAUUUAAUUUAAUUAUUAAUUAUUGACUUUGUCAUUACUAUAACUAAUAACAAGUUAAGAGCAAAAUACAGAGAACAUUACAUUUACUAUAUUACUGAAAUAUUCAUUUGUAUAUAGUGAUAUCUUGUCAUUAUGAAAAUUAUAUAGUUAUUGAAAAAAGCAGAAAUAACUUUUUGGAUAAAAUGGAUUUGUAGCAUUUUUACAAAUAUUUUUCAUUCUUGUUAAAAAUUAAAUUAUAUAUAUAAAAUAAAUAUGAAUUUAUUUUUAUUAUUGAGGCAUAGCAUUAAUGAAACCUCUUCUAUGUGGCUUACAGAAUUGUGUUCAUUUUCAAAAUUGAUCAAGCAGAUUUUAAGAACGAACACUGAUAAUUGAUUUUAUAGAAUGUAUAAGUGUUUUAAAGCAUAUGGUAUACAAAUUUAAUUACAAAUUAGUGCAACUUAGUUACUUUAUUGUAGCCUACAUUAUUAAUAUUCAUAACUAUUAAAAUACAGUGGUGCCUCGUAUAACAUACUUAAUCCGUUCCCGGUGCACGUCCGUUAAGUGAAAAGUCU